GUCCCCGUCGAUUAGUGGUUAAAUCAUCACGUUGUGGUCACCAGGGCUUUCUCACCCACAAAUCCGUGAAGCCAGCGGCUCGAAUCCGCUCGGGGACA